rnacentral:rRNA from 1 species
CCUACGGGGGGCUGCAGUGGGGAAUCAUGGUCAAUGGGCGAAAGCCUGAACCUGCGACGCCGCGUGAGUGAUGAAGGUCGUAAGAUCGUAAAACUCUUUUCAGGGACAUUAAAGCUCCGGCUCUAACAUAGCCUGGAGUCUGACUAUCCCUGGAAUAAGCCCCAGCCAACUACGUGCCAGCAGCUGCGGUAAUACGUAGGGGGCGAGCGUUAUUCGGAAUUACUGGGUGUAAAGGGUAUGUAGGCGGCCUGACAAGUCGCGUGUCAAAGUCCAGCGCUCAACGCUGGGUUCGCACGCGAUACUGUCAGGCUUGAGGACUGGAGAGGUGAGCGGAAUUCCCGGUGUAGUGGUAAAAUACGUAGAUAUCGGGAGGAACACCAGCGGCGUAGGCGGCUCACUAGACAGUUUCUGACGCUAAGAUACGAAAGCGUGGGGAGCAAACAGGAUUAGAUACCCCAGUAGUC